rnacentral:rRNA from 1 species
GAUGAACGCUGGCGGCGUGCUUAACACAUGCAAGUCGAACGAUGAAAGCGGGAGCUUGCUCCUGCUGGAUUAGUGGCGAACGGGUGAGUAACACGUGAGCAAUCUGCCCCGAACUCUGGGAUAAGCGUUGGAAACGACGUCUAAUACCGGAUACGACGCGCGAAGGCAUCUUCUGCGCGUGGAAAGAAUUUCGGUUCGGGAUGAGCUCGCGGCCUAUCAGCUAGUUGGUGAGGUAACGGCUCACCAAGGCGACGACGGGUAGCCGGCCUGAGAGGGUGACCGGCCACACUGGGACUGAGACACGGCCCAGACUCCUACGGGAGGCAGCAGUGGGGAAUAUUGCACAAUGGGCGAAAGCCUGAUGCAGCAACGCCGCGUGAGGGACGACGGCCUUCGGGUUGUAAACCUCUUUUCGUCGGGAAGAAGCGAAAGUGACGGUACCUGCAGAAAAAGCACCGGCUAACUACGUGCCAGCCGCCGCCGUAAUAC